UGGCGUACGGGUGAGUAACACGUGGAUCAUCUACCUUUUAGUGGGGAAUACCGUUGGGAAACCGACGACAAUACCGCAUAAUCCCGAGAGGGGAAAGCAGCAAUGCGCUGAAAGAGGAGUCCGCGGCUGAUUAGCUAGUUGGCAGGGUAAUGGCCUACCAAGGCAACGAUCAGUAGCCAGCCUGAGAGGGCACACGGCCACACUGGCACUGAAACACGGGCCAG
rnacentral:rRNA from 1 species